rnacentral:tRNA from 1 species
GGGGAUGUAGCUCAGAUGGUAGAGCGCUCGCUUAGCAUGCGAGAGGUAUGGGGAUCGCAUCUCCA